rnacentral:lncRNA from 1 species
CUCUGAUGUUCCCUAGCUAUUGUGUUUAUUAUUCCCAUUGAGGGUCGGUUCUCCAAAGGUUCUUCUUGUUGAGAUAGCUUGGGCUGUCAAUGCUCCCUCGACCGCUCUCAUGCCUCUCCUGGCGGUGGCAAACAAAUCGAUCCAGCUACCAUGCGGAAUCAACUCCUCGAUCUCAUCUUGGAGUUGGAUGCAUUCCUCUAUAUCG